CAAGUGGCACCAGCCAAAUCCCUGCCUUACUGACCUCUCCCCUGGAGGAGCAGGAGCAGCGCUCAAGGCCGCCCUGGGAGGGCUGAGAGGCAGGCUCUGGACUGGGGACACAGGGAUAGCUGAGCCCCAGCUGGGGGUGGAAGCUGAGCCAGGGACAGUCACAGAGGAACAAGAUCAAGAUGCGCUUUAACUGAGAAGCCCCCAAGGCAGAGGCUGAGAAUCAGAAGACAUUUCAGCAGACAUCUACAAAUCUGAAGGACAAAACAUGGUUCAAGCAUCUGGGCACAGGCGGAGCUGGUACCUUCGCUUAUACAAAUGUACUUACUUAUUACAUUUCAUUGCUGUCAGCUCCACGCAAGCAGGGAUAUUUGCCUGUUGUACACUUGCACGGAGAGAAUGAAUAGUGCCCCUCUGUUGACAUCAUUGCCUCUAGCCUACGUCUCUUUCCAGGGCUUUAGAUCCUGUUUCUAGAGACCCACUGGUGUCUCACAGGCAACUCAGCUCCUAGAUGGAAACAGCCUCCUCCGCCCCCCACAAGUCCACUCCUCCUGUGCUCUUGGCUCAGUCAGGGGUCCCCUUCUCUUCAGUUGCUCAAGCCAGAAGUCAAGGUCAUGUCCUUGAUACUUCCCUCUUCCCCAUGCCUCACAUCCAGUCACCAAUCUCCUAAAAUAUCUAGAAUGUGCACAGCUUCCACCAUUCUUUCUACCACCACCCUACUCCCCCAUGGCCAUGUCAGGCCACCACCCGCCCAUUCUUCAAAACUCCCUUCAGGCCUCACCUCCCAUGCCUCCCCUGAGUUCCCCCAGUCCCAGGCUGCUUCUCUCUGGUGGUGUUGCCAUUACCCAUCUCUUCUAUUAAACAGAGUGACCCAAGAGUGGAGAGUGGGUUUUGACUUUGUAUCCCUGGUGCUUGACUCAUAAGUAGGUGCUCAACAAAAAUUUUUUCUUUUUUUGAGAUGGAGUCUUGUUCUGUUGCCCAUGCUGGAGUGCAGUGG
rnacentral:lncRNA from 1 species